GUCAGCCCCACCACCUCUAAAGAACUCGACCUCUAAUAAAGAACUUCUCAUACAUGUUGACUCCUCCAAUGAACAGGAGACCACCCUCCAAGGUCCCAUUGAAUGAAAUGAAAAGAUGGUACGCUUUGGAAAACAUAGCAGGUGACAUUAUAUGCCAUUGAAGGAAUGUAAUAGAUGCUCUUCCACCGCGAAUAUCCCACACAUCCACAUGAGAAACAUAAGUAACCCAAUAAGUGUGAGGCAUUGAAUAUUCCAACCUAGUUGCCUCUAUUCAGAUACUUUCUUGUGUGAUAGCCUCCAAAUUCUCGUUAUUUUUUAUUGCUUCCUCUAUUUUGGUUGCCAAGUUGUAGUCCUUUAAUUUUUAGCAACUAAUUAAACUUGUUAUUUUCCCUUUUGCAUCCAUACGUGUAGUUUUACCUCCUCCACUUUCUUGAUUUGUGAUCCUUUUCAAUAGAUUUAACUGAAUUGACAUGUUCUUGUAAAAUCUGCAGCUUCUUCAAGUGAUUUGAUAUUUUCUCUUCGAAAUCAGUUUUCUCUAUCUUUAAAGAACUUGAAUCCUCAACAAUUCGAUUGUUUCUACCACGUGGAACGCCAUCUGAUCUGACAAAGCUUUGACGGCCACAGUUAAAGCCGAAUCAAUGUUAUGACUUAGCCAGUGUUUGAUACAGAUGUGGCGUGAAUGCAACCAUGCGUUUAGUGUGAAGCUAAACUAU
rnacentral:lncRNA from 1 species